rnacentral:rRNA from 1 species
GACGAACGCUGGCGGCGUGCUUAACACAUGCAAGUCGAACGGAAAGGCCCUGCUUUUGUGGGGUGCUCGAGUGGCGAACGGGUGAGUAACACGUGAGUAACCUGCCCUUGACUUUGGGAUAACUUCAGGAAACUGGGGCUAAUACCGGAUAGGAGCUCCUGCUGCAUGGUGGGGGUUGGAAAGUUUCGGCGGUUGGGGAUGGACUCGCGGCUUAUCAGCUUGUUGGUGGGGUAGUGGCUUACCAAGGCUUUGACGGGUAGCCGGCCUGAGAGGGUGACCGGGGACAUUGCUCCUAAGAUAGGGACCAGUCGCGUACAGGGGGCAGCGGUGGCAAGUAUGACCCAAUGAGCGGAAGUGUGAUGCAGAGACGCCGCGUUUGUGAAGACGUCUUGCGGGUUAAGAACCGCUUUCGCUUAUUACGAAGCGGUAGUGACGGUACUGGGUAAAGAAGCACCGGCUAACUUCGUG